CAAUAGCGUAUAUUUAAGUUGUUGCAGUUAAAAAGCUCGUAGUUGGAUUUCGGGUGGGACGCAGCGGUCUCGCAUUGCGUUUGUACUGCUGCAGCCCUCCUUCUUGCCGGGGGCGGCCUCUCGGACUUCACUGUCUGGGGGUCAGAAUCGGCGAUGUUACUUUGAGUAAAUUAGAGUGUUCAAAGCAAGCUUACGCUCUGAAUAUAAUAGCAUGGGAUAACACGACAGGACUCUGGCCUAUCGUGUUGGUCUAUAGGACCAGAGUAAUGAUUAAGAGGAACAGUCGGGGGUAUUCGUACUUGGUAGUCAGAGGUGAAAUUCUUGGAUUUACCAAAGACGAACUACUGCGAAGGCAUCUACCAUGGAUGUUUNCAUUAA
rnacentral:rRNA from 1 species